rnacentral:tRNA from 1 species
GGAGGAGUCGCAUAGUGGACUAGUGCGCAGUCCUGGAAAGACUGUAUGCCCGCAAGGGUAUCGUGGGUUCGAAUCCCACCUCCUCCGCCC